rnacentral:rRNA from 1 species
AGACCCGAAACCCGGUGAUCUAGCCAUGGGCAGGUUGAAGGUUGGGUAACACUAACUGGAGGACCGAACCGACUAAUGUUGAAAAAUUAGCGGAUGACCUGUGGCUGGGGGUGAAAGGCCAAUCAAACCGGGAGAUAGCUGGUUCUCCCCGAAAGCUAUUUAGGUAGCGCCUCGUGAAUUCAUCUCCGGGGGUAGAGCACUGUUUCGGCUAGGGGGCCAUCCCGGCUUACCAACCCGAUGCAAACUGCGAAUACCGGAGAAUGUUAUCACGGGAGACACACGGCGGGUGCUAACGUCCGUCGUGAAGAGGGAAACAACCCAGACCGCCAGCUAAGGUCCCAAAGUCAUGGUUAAGUGGGAAACGAUGUGGGAAGGCCCAGACAGCCAGGAUGUUGGCUUAGAAGCAGCCAUCAUUUAAAGAAAGCGUAAUAGCUCACUGGUCGAGUCGGCCUGCGCGGAAGAUGUAACGGGGCUAAACCAUGCACCGAAGCUGCGGCAGCGACACUGUGUGUUGUUGGGUAGGGGAGCGUUCUGUAAGCCUGUGAAGGUGUGUCGUGAGGCAUGCUGGAGGUAUCAGAAGUGCGAAUGCUGACAUAAGUAACGAUAAAGCGGGUGAAAAGCCCGCUCGCCGGAAGACCAAGGGUUCCUGUCCAACGUUAAUCGGGGCAGGGUGAGUCGACCCCUAAGGCGAGGCCGAAAGGCGUAGUCGAUGGGAAACGGGUUAAUAUUCCCGUACUUGGUGUUACUGCGAAGGGGGG